rnacentral:rRNA from 1 species
AUUCUAGAGUAAGGUGGGGGAAGAUGGAAUUCCUGGUGUAGCGGUGGAAUGCGCAGAUAUCAGGAAGAACACCAGAGGCGAAGGCGAUCUUCUAUACCAUUACUGACGCUAAAUUGCGAAGGUGUGGGUAUCAAACAGGAUUAGAUACCCUGGUAGUCCACACAGUAAACGAUAUACACUAGGUGUUGGGGGAGAUGAUCUUUCAGUGCCGUAGCUAACGCGUUAAGUGUAUCGCCUGGGGAGUACGAUCGCAAGGUUAAAACUCAAAGGAAUUGACGGGGGCCCGCACAAGCGGUGGAGCAUGUGGUUUAAUUCGAUGCAACGCGAAGAACCUUACCUGGGCUUGACAUCCUGGGAAACCUGUAGAGAUACGGGGGUGCCCUUUCGGGGGAACCCAGUGACAGGUGCUGCAUGGCUGUCGUCGGCUCGUGUCGUGAGAUGUUUGGUUAAGUCCAGCAACGAGCGCAACCCCUAUUGUUAGUUGCCAGCGCGUAAUGGCGGGGACUCUAGCAAGACUGCCAGUGUAAUAAACUGGAGGAAGGUGGGGACGACGUCAAGUCAUCAUGGUCCUUAUGUCCAGGGUUACACACGUGCUACAAUGGUCGGUACAGAGGGAAGCGAAGCAGUGAUGUGGGGCUAAUCUCAGAAAGCCGAUCUCAGUUCGGAUU